CUCAAAGUGAGCACAGGUUCUUUGUGUACUUGCUAUUUCUCAUAAGCCUCAGUUUUUCAGCUAAACCAGGACCUCUGCUGCCUUCUCACAUCAAGCUUCCAACAGGAGACUCUCAGGUUCCUUUGAAACUCCUGAGUGGACACCAUCUGGUCCAGCUUUUGUUAGAGCAAAACAGCAGAUUCGUGUGUAGGGAUCCUACAGAUCUCACCUAA
rnacentral:lncRNA from 1 species